UACGUAGGGGGCAAGCGUUGUCCGGAAUUAUUGGGCGUAAAGCGCGCGCAGGCGGUUUUGUAAGUCAGGUGUUUAAGCUCGGGGCUCAACCCCGAUUCGCAUCUGAAACUGCAAGACUUGAGUACAGAAGAGGAAAGUGGAAUUCCACGUGUAGCGGUGAAAUGCGUAGAGAUGUGGAGGAACACCAGUGGCGAAGGCGACUUUCUGGGCUGUAACUGACGCUGAGGCGCGAAAGCGUGGGGAGCAAACAGG
rnacentral:rRNA from 1 species